AGAGUUUGAUCCUGGCUCAGAACGUACGCUGGCGGCACGCCUAACACAUGCAAGUCGAACGCAGUAGCAAUACUGAGUGGCAGACGGGUGAGUAACAUGUGGGAAUCUGCCUUGUGGUUCAGGACAACAUUGGGAAACCGAUGCUAAUACUGGAUAAGCCCUUACGGGGAAAGUUUUAAUGCCAUAAGAUGAGCCCGCAUUUGAUUAGUUAGUUGGUGAGGUAAUGGCUCACCAAGACAAUGAUCAAUAGCUGAUCUGAGAGGAUGAUCAGCCACACUGGGACUGAGACACGGCCCAGACUCCUAUGGGAGGCAGCAGUGGGGAAUCUUGCACAAUGGAGGAAACUCUGAUGCAGCGACGCCGCGUGAGUGACGAAGGCCUUCGGGUUGUAAAGCUCUGUUCUCAGGGAAAAGGAAAGUGAUUGUACCUGAGGAGAAAGGACCGGCUAACUUCGUGCCAGCAGCCGCGGUAAGACGAGGGGUCCAAGCGUUGUUCGGAAUCAUUGGGCGUAAAGCGGGUGUAGGCGGCCUUAUAAGUCAGGAGUGAAAGCCCCGAGCUUAACUUGGGAAGUGCUUUUGAUGCUGUAAGGCUUGAAUGUGGGAGAGGGUAGUGGAAUUCCAGGUGUAGUGGUGAAAUACGUAGAUAUCUGGAGGAACACCGGUGGCGAAGGCGGCUACCUGGCCCAACAUUGACGCUGAGAUCCGAAAGCAUGGGGAUCAAACAGGAUUAGAUACCCUGGUAGUCCAUGCCAUAAACGAUGGACACUUGGUGUUGGAGGUAUUGACCCCUUCAGUGCCGAAGCUAACGCGUUAAGUGUCCCGCCUGGGGGAGUACGGCCGCCAGGUUAAAACUCAAAGGAAUUGACGG
rnacentral:rRNA from 1 species